AUGGAGAUUGACUGCUUGGAGCUAGUUGAUCUAUGGCAUUCGCGCGGCAACACCAGAUCAGUUGCAGCGCCUAUCUUAAAUGAACUGGAGGAAAUUGGUGCUUCGUUUGCUUCUUUAUCUGUCACGCAUGUCAGCAGGGAGGCCAACGUACCGGCGCAUUAGUGUGCUCGCCUAGCUAGUACACUCGAUGGAACUGAGAGUUGGCUUGAUGUAAGCCCUGUUUUUUUAGCCUCUUGCCUAAGGGCGGAUUGUAAAACUAUGAUUCUAAGUUAA
rnacentral:rRNA from 1 species